ACGAGUUGAACGGGGUUGUAGCUGGCCUUCACAGGCAUGUGCACACCUCACUCAUCCACUCUACACCUGUGCACUUACUGUGGGUUUCGAGAGGCCGCGCUUGCGUGGUUGAUCGGGCUCACGUCUAUUACAAACUCUUCAGUAUCAGAAUGUGUAUCGCGAUGUAACGCAUCUAUAUA
rnacentral:misc_RNA from 2 species